UCGGCCCUGAGCAGUGAUCCUCUCAGCAGGACCUCGUCCCCACUCGCCAUGUCCCCGUCUGACAGCAGUCCCAGUGUCCUGUCCUGCAGUGGACGAGCCUUCUCCUCCUGCCUCCCCCCUCCUCCUCCUCCGUCCCCCUUCCCCACCUCCACGCUGACGUCCCUCUCCACCUUCUCCCCGGCCACAUCCGAGCCUCAGGCGCUCUACAUGAGCCCCCCGUCCCCUUUCUUCUGACGGUGAGACUCAGGUGGACCUGCUGCAGGAAUGCCUCAUCCAGCAGCAGAUGAUGAAGAGGAGGAGGAAGAAAGUUUGAAGCAGCUCCAUCUGUUUGUCUCCCUCUGUUUUUAAAGGUUAAUCUGUUGGAGAAGGAGGGAGGUUCCUGUGAUAGGCUGGAGCCAGUUUUCACGUUUCACAAACAUCUUUUCAUGAGAGUUUUCUGUUCACAACUAUGAACUCACACUGAUGUUUUCUGUAAAAAGUUCAACUCUUUYUGACUUGUUUUCAGUGGCAUUUCAACUAUUUUAACGUAGAAACUGUGAAAAAGAAACGCACCAAUCCAAACCAUUCAUUCAAUCUGUUUUUAAUUUGAGAUUCAAUCAGUUUAAUGUUGAAGCAAUUUAAAAUAAAACAGGAUGGUUUGUAGAAAGUAAAACAAAUAAUAUGUACUGUAAGGAUUGUAUUUAUUAAAGAGGUUAAAAUGAUGAAAUAUUUUCAUCAGCUGAAGAACAAAUGAAGAAGAGUUUUAUGUUUUUAGUGUUUUAAUCUCAUGAAGCUGAAUAAAACAGUGACUCACUGA